rnacentral:rRNA from 1 species
AGUGAACGCUGGCGGUAGGCCUAACACAUGCAAGUCGAACGGCAGCACAGUAAGAGCUUGCUCUUACGGGUGGCGAGUGGCGGACGGGUGAGGAAUACAUCGGAAUCUACUUUUUCGUGGGGGAUAACGUAGGGAAACUUACGCUAAUACCGCAUACGACCUACGGGUGAAAGCAGGGGAUCUUCGGACCUUGCGCGAUUGAAUGAGCCGAUGUCGGAUUAGCUAGUUGGCGGGGUAAAGGCCCACCAAGGCGACGAUCCGUAGCUGGUCUGAGAGGAUGAUCAGCCACAAUGGAACUGAGACACGGUCCAGACUCAUACGGGAGGCAGCAGUGGGGAAUAUUGGACAAUGGGCGCAAGCCUGAUCCAGCCAUACCGCGUGGGUGAAGAAGGCCUUCGGGUUGUAAAGCCCUUUUGUUGGGAAAGAAAAGCAGCAGGUUAAUACCCCGCUGUUCUGACGGUACCCAAAGAAUAAGCACCGGCUAACUUCG